rnacentral:rRNA from 1 species
CCGGUACAAUGCGAAGCGAAGCAGCGAUGUGAAGCAAAUCGCACCAAAGCCGGUCCCAGUUCGGAUAAGAGGCUGAAACUCGCCUCUUUGAAGUCGGAAUCGCUAGUAAUCGCAGAUCAGCAUGUUGCGGUGAAUACGUUUCCUGGUCUUGUACACACCGCCCGUCAAACCAUGAGAGUCGCCAACACCCGAAGUCCGCUUUGCGGCCUAAGGUGGGGGAGAUGAUUGGGGUUAAGUCGUAACAAGGUAUC